GUACCUUGUCUGCCACCUUGUGUGUAAUUCAUUCUUGAGUGCUUAUGGAUUCCUCGCGAAGUUCAGCUCGGAUUCGGUGCCAAAGGAGCAAAAACUAUUUAAAACGGCUUCAUUAUGGAGGAAACAGUUUUAUCAUGUUAGUUUUUACCGGAAAUCAUUUGAUACAAGGAUACGAGAAAUGCUGACAUAUCUCCGCGUUGCAUGGUGUAGCUGGAUGAGUCACAAAGGACCCUCUCUCUUUUUCGCUCCUUCACGCUUUUGCACGGUUUUUCUUUCAUUAAAUCUUGCAGCACCUUCUGUUCAGAGGUUUCUCUUUUAUCUUGAAUGUUUGCAUGAUUCUCUUUUAUCUAGUUUUACUGAGUCUUUCUUAUCCCUUGUCGUCCUUCCAGGCUUUGGAGAACAUGUUUUCCUGCCCUGCAUUGCUCCACAGUGCAGCUGCAUUUAAGCCAUUAGUCUUAAAAUGUGUUUGUGUCAGUGCAUCGCCUGUUGUUGUUCUCCCUCCUCCUCCUUCUCCUCCUCCUCUGCUUUUUUUUUUUCUAAGGCUGAUGUGUCUUUCAUUACCAGGGUCUGACAGCGCCGAGCCGAGCGGACGUCUGUUUGUCACCCUCUAAUGGGGCUUGGCAGCCUACAAGGUGUGCACAACACCUCAGAGAGAGUGGCCUUCUCCUUCUGUCUCCCUCAGCGAAGGAAAAGACCAAUAACACUACCCCCG